rnacentral:rRNA from 1 species
GACGAACGCUGGCGGCGUGCCUAAUACAUGCAAGUCGAACGGAAAGGCCCUGCUUUUGUGGGGUGCUCGAGUGGCGAACGGGUGAGUAACACGUGAGUAACCUGCCCUUGACUUUGGGAUAACUUCAGGAAACUGGGGCUAAUACCGGAUAGGAGCUCCUGCUGCAUGGUGGGGGUUGGAAAGUUUCGGCGGUUGGGGCUGGACUCGCGGCUUAUCAGCUUGUUAGUGGGGUAGUGGCUUACCAAGGCUUUGACGGGUAGCCGGCCUGAGAGGGUGACCGGCCACAUUGGGACUGAGAUACGGCCCAGACUCCUACGGGAGGCAGCAGUCGGGAAUAUUGCACAAUGGGCGGAAGCCUGAUGCAGCAACGCCGCGUGCGGGAUGACGGCCUUCGGGUUGUAAACCGCUUUCGCCUGUGACGAAGCGUGAGUGACGGUAAUGGGUAAAGAAGCACCGGCUAACUACGUG